ACUCUCUUCCUCCCUCCAUCUCUCCUUGCUCUCAGGAUGCUACUUUCAUACUCCAAAACAUUUUGGACCAAACCGGGCUGGCGUACAUAUGCCAGACGUAUGAACGCUUCUCUGGCAAUGAUUCUUGGGAAAUGGUGCUGCAGCUCUCGAAGGAACCCUCUACACGUCUGCUGAAACAAGUUGUACGCUGCUACCUUCGCCUCUCUGAUAAUCCAAGAACGUGAGAGGCACUGCGCCAGUGCUUGCCCGACCAGUUGAGGGAUGCCACAUUCGCCCAGGUGCUAAAGGACGACACCCCCACCAAGCGCUGGCCGGCCCAUCUGGUCAAGAACCUGCAGGAGGGCCCGGCGACCGAUGGCCGAGGCAUCCCCCUGACUGCACAGUGACUGCCCACCUCAUUAAUAACCCCUUGAAUACUACCUGAGGGACGGUACCGUGCUGGCACAGAGCCACAGAAGAAAACCAUGACUAGUGCUUGAAGUGGAAUGAAAAGGGUGCCGAUACUCAUUUUAAUUUUACAGUACCGCUGUUAAUAUUUUAGAGCCAAUAUUCUGAAAGAGGUGCCGGUACUGAAAAUAGUAGAAAAUUAAAGGCGCCGGUACUCUGUAAUGGUGUGCACCGGUCCAAUUUAAGCAGCUGUCCAAGACCAGGAGAGGAUGAUGCUGUGAAGAAUCUUAAACUCAGUGACUUGUAAUUGCUGCUUUCAUGGUAUUCUCGCUGAGACGUUGUCACAAUGCUUCCUAAAUGCUUAUGAAAGUGUUUGCGUUACAUUUCAGCAGACACGCAUAAUAUGAGGUUUAACAUUGAUGUCAUCAAAAAGGACAUCAACAUUGAUGUCACAAAUUGGCCUGGUUUUAGACUGGCUAAAAAGCAUGGUGCUCCCGCAAUGUUUUGUACUCUCCUGAACAGAAACAAACAACUACAGGCUCUUUCUGGGAAAAAUGCCCUUAAUCCAUUUACUUGACUUCUUGAGGCCAGGCCAGGCAUCAACAGAAAGGUAGCUUUUUUCUUAGGAGCUAUUUGUUGAACAAAUCCACUGUUACGUAUUCCAAAACAAAGCCCCACUCUCAGUUGUUCAGCAAAAACUGUUUACCUCCUUGAAUUGUUGAAGGAAUAACUGAUAUAUUCUCUUAUAUUGGAAAUUGAGAUUUCGAAUGGAAUUUCCGAGUUAUCGUGAAAUGAUCAGGGAGCAGUUUCUUGAAGUGCAACGUCAUUACUGAAUAAAACAAAAAAGGUUUCCCCUACCUCACUUGUACAUUUGCUUCAACAGCUUUUAACCUACCAUUUUCCCCUUAGGUUCCAUUAACAAUACAAGGGAUUUUCAUUUUGUUUACUGUGAGAUUCACACCAUUUGUAAAUAAAUUGGAUCCGUAGAGGAUCUCUGCUAAAAUGUGUGUAAUGUUUUCAAGUGCCAACUAAACAAAUGUUCUAUCCACCUAUCUGAAACGCUCAAUUUUAUGCUAUUCUGAGUGUGCAUUAUGAAAACUAGCAUGACAUUUGUAGAUAUUGAAAAUUGAUUAUGAUCAAAAGCAGUUCUGUAAGAGAAAAAAUAUCUUCAUUGUAAAAUAGUUAUUUAAAUGUUUCUAGUACAAGUGGGUUGCAUUUUUGUUGC